rnacentral:rRNA from 1 species
UCCUACAGGCACACUACCCUGAACACACCCAAUCUCAUCUGAUCUUGUAAGCUAAGUAGGGUCAGGCUUGGUUAGUACAUGGAUGGGAA